GUGGGGAAUCUUAGACAAUGGGGGAAACCCUGAUCUAGCCAUGCCGCGUGAGCGAUGAAGGCCUUAGGGUUGUAAAGCUCUUUCAGCUGGGAAGAUAAUGACGGUACCAGCAGAAGAAGCCCCGGCUAACUCCGUGCCAGCAGCCGCGGUAAUACGGAGGGGGCUAGCGUUGUUCGGAAUUACUGGGCGUAAAGCGCACGUAGGCGGACUGGAAAGUCAGGGGUGAAAUCCCGGGGCUCAACCCCGGAACUGCCUUUGAAACUCCCAGUCUUGAGUUCGAGAGAGGUGAGUGGGAUUCCGAGUGUAGAGGUGAAAUUCGUAGAUAUUCGGAGGAACACCAGUGGCGAAGGCGGCUCACUGGCUCGAUACUGACGCUGAGGUGCGAAAGCGUGGGGAGCAAACAGGAUUAGAUACCCGGGUAGUCC
rnacentral:rRNA from 1 species